UACGUAGGGACCGAGCGUUGUCCGGAAUCAUUGGGCGUAAAGAGCGUGUAGGCGGCCACUUAAGUCCUGCGUGAAAUCUUGCGGCUCAACCGCAAGCGGUCGUGGGAAACUGGGUGGCUAGAGUGCGGGAGAGGAGAGUGGAAUUCCUGGUGUAGCGGUGGAAUGCGCAGAUAUCAGGAAGAACACCCGUGGCGAAGGCGGCUCUCUGGAACGGGACUGACGCUGAGACGCGAAAGCGUGGGGAGCGAACAGG
rnacentral:rRNA from 1 species